AUUGAACGCUGGCGGCAGGCCUAACACAUGCAAGUCGAACGAGUGGCGGACGGGUGAGUAAUGUCUGGGAAACUGCCCGAAGGAGGGGGAUAACUACUGGAAACGGUAGCUAAUACCGCAUACCAUCGGAUGUGCCCAGAUGGGAUUAGCUAGUAGGUGGGGUAACGGCUCACCUAGGCGACGAUCCCUAGCUGGUCUGAGAGGAUGACCUGCCACACUGGAACUGAGACACGGGCCAGACGCCUACGGGAGGCAGCAGUGGGGAAUAGUGCACGAUGGGGGCAAGCCUGAUGCAGCCAUGCCGCGUGUAUGAAGAAGGCCUUCGGGUUGUAAAGUACUUUCAGCGGGGAGGCGUUACCCGCAGAAGAAGAACCGGCUAACUCCGUGCCAGCAGCCGCGGUAAUAC
rnacentral:rRNA from 1 species